rnacentral:ncRNA from 2 species
AUUGUGAAAAAACGAUUCGGUUCUAGUGGGGGUCAGCCACUAGAGGUAACGGGGAAAGUUCGGUGCAAAUCCGGCGCUGUCCCGCAGCUGUAAUAAAGGUUUUCCUUUUUAGUCAGAACGCCCACCGAUUGGUUAACUUCUAU